rnacentral:rRNA from 1 species
CAUGCAAGUCGAACGAAGCGCUUAAAUGGAUUUCUUCGGAUUGAAGUUUUUGUGACUGAGUGGCGGACGGGUGAGUAACGCGUGGGUAACCUGCCUCAUACAGGGGGAUAACAGUUAGAAAUGACUGCUAAUACCGCAUAAGCGCACAGUGCUGCAUGGCACAGUGUGAAAAACUCCGGUGGUAUGAGAUGGACCCGCGUCUGAUUAGCUGGUUGGUGGGGUAACGGCCUACCAAGGCGACGAUCAGUAGCCGGCCUGAGAGGGUGAACGGCCACAUUGGGACUGAGACACGGCCCAAACUCCUACGGGAGGCAGCAGUGGGGAAUAUUGCACAAUGGGGGAAACCCUGAUGCAGCGACGCCGCGUGAGCGAAGAAGUAUUUCGGUAUGUAAAGCUCUAUCAGCAGGGAAGAAAAUGACGGUACCUGACUAAGAAGCACCGGCUAAAUACGUGCCAGCAGCCGCGGUAAUACGUAUGGUGCAAGCGUUAUCCGGAUUUACUGGGUGUAAAGGGAGCGUAGACGGUUGUGUAAGUCUGAUGUGAAAGCCCGGGGCUCAACCCCGGGACUGCAUUGGAAACUAUGUAACUAGAGUGCCGGAGAGGUAAGCGGAAUUCCUAGUGUAGCGGUGAAAUGCGUA